rnacentral:lncRNA from 1 species
ACAGAGAGGACCACCACCCACAUCAUCCUGUCAGUAGAGAGUGUGUGUACCACGAUGCCAACAUUCCAGGUGGAAUCCUACACUGUUUAGGAUGCGCGUGUCACGGGACACAGAAGCAGAUCAGAAUCUGAGUAGGCUUCAUCGCUGGACUUUCUCCAAGUGUGGCUUCUGUGUGCGGGCUUCUUGUUUCGGAGCCCCUCCUGUUGAGAACAGGCUCCAGGCCCGCUGGUAGCGGGCGGUGCAGCACGCGGGCUCAGUUGUGUGGCUGUCGGGCCCUACAGCGCAGGCUCAGAAGUUGUGCACAGGCUUAGUUGCUCCUCAGCAGGUGGAAUCCUCCCAGACCAGGGAUUGAACCUGUGUCCCCUGCCCUGGUCCCCCGCAAGGCAAAGUGGAUACCCAUCCGCUGGGCUACCAGGGAAGUCCAAGAACUAGACCUUUAAAGUACUUUUGAAGCCACCUGUGUGUCUGAGUUUUGCUAUUUACAUCUCUUCUUUCACACUCUUAACAAUGCCCAUUGUAGGCUGUAUGUUUUAGUAUUGUUUGACUAUUAUUGUUUUCUAAAUUAUUUUAAUACGAUGUUUCCUCAGUUUGCAG